rnacentral:sRNA from 1 species
AGCCAUAAGAGUUUAGGAAAAACCCAAUUCACUAGAUUAGACUCAUAGAGUUUAAGAAAAACUUCUCCUUAAGAACAAGAGUCAAAGAGAAAAGAGGAAACAUUGAUCUGAGAAAAAAAAUCGAAAUAUGCCUUUAGUGCAAAAGGGUAGAUUUAGGAUCAUCAUUGGGUUUAGAGAUAUGUCAUUGGGUAGAUAGGGUGCUAUUCUUGUAUGCAUAGGUUGGCACUUACCUUUAGCAUUCUUCUAAAGCUCAGUCCUUUUUCAUUGAGAGUCCCCUGCUACUAAAAUCUGAACCACUUAAAAGGGACCAUCUUUGUCUCAUAACCUGUCAUUAGCCAAAUGAGUUCACUAGCGAUGCAUAUCUUC